rnacentral:rRNA from 1 species
UACGGGGGGGGCAAGCGUUGUUCGGAAUUACUGGGCGUAAAGGGCGCGUAGGCGGCUUGACAAGUCACUUGUGAAAUCUCCGGGCUUAACUCGGAACGGCCAAGUGAAACUGUCAUGCUAGAGUGCAGAAGGGGCAAUCGGAAUUCUUGGUGUAGCGGUGAAAUGCGUAGAUAUCAAGAGGAACACCUGAGGUGAAGACGGGUUGCUGGGCUGACACUGACGCUGAUGCGCGAAAGCCAGGGGAGCAAACGGG